rnacentral:rRNA from 1 species
UACAGGGGGUGCAAACGUUGCUCGGAAUCAUUGGGCGUAAAGCGCACGUAGGCGGUUCGUCAUGUCGGAUGUGAAAGCCCUUGGCUUAACCGAGGAAGUGCAUCCGAAACUGGCGAGCUAGAGUACUAAAGAGGAUCGCGGAAUUCCCGGUGUAGAGGUGAAAUUCGUAGAUAUCGGGAGGAACACCGGUGGCGAAGGCGGCGAUCUGGGUAGAUACUGACGCUGAGGUGCGAAAGCGUGGGGAGCAAACAGG